CGUAGGGUGCGAGCGUUAAUCGGAAUUACUGGGCGUAAAGCGUGCGCAGGCGGUUUUGUAAGCCAGAUGUGAAAUCCCCGGGCGUCAACCUGGGAAGUGGCAUUCGGGACGUGCAAGGCUCGAGUGCGGCAGAGGAGACUGGAAUUCCUGGUGUAGCAGUGAAAUGCGUAGAUAUCAGGAGGAAUACCGAUGGCGAAGGCAGGUCUCUGGGCUGACACUGACGCUCAUGCACGAAAGCGUGGGGAGGCAAACAGGAUUAGAUACCCUGGUAGUCCACGCCCUAAACGAUGUCGACUGGUUGUUGGGGGCGUUGACACUCUCAGUAACGAAGCUAACGCGUGAAGUCGACCGCCUGGGGAGUACGGCCGCAAGGUUA
rnacentral:rRNA from 1 species